rnacentral:rRNA from 1 species
ACCGGCAGCUCAAGUGGUGGCCAUUAUUAUUGGGCUUAAAGGGUUGGUAGCCGGUUUGAUAAGUUUUGGGGGAAAUCCGGAGGUUUAAUGGGGGGAUUGGUGGAGAUACUAUCAGACUUGAGGUCGGGAGAGGUUAGGGGUACUCCCAGGGUAGGGGUGAAAUCCUAUAAUCCUGGGAGGACCACCUGUGGCGAAGGCGCCUAACUGGAACGAACCUGACGGUGAGUAACGAAAGCCAGGGGCGCGAACCU